rnacentral:rRNA from 1 species
UACGGAGGGGACUAGCGUUGUUCGGAAUUACUGGGCGUAAAGCGCACGUAGGCGGAUUUGUAAGUCAGGGGUGAAAUCCCGGGGCUCAACCUCGGAACUGCCUUUGAUACUGCAAAUCUCGAGUCCGGAAGAGGUGAGUGGAAUUCCUAGUGUAGAGGUGAAAUGCGCAGAUAUCAGGAAGAACACCUAUGGCGAAGGCAGCUCUCUGGGACGGUACUGACGCUGAGACGCGAAAGCGUGGGGAGCGAACAGG